ensembl:lncRNA
GUGAGAUCUACUGGAGCUCACUGAAGUUGGAAGUGGGAGAUUUCAACUCGGAUGUUUCCCUUUUCUGACGUUCUCUGGAACGCUGCAGAAGUAGGCUACCACCCUGCGGGUCAUUUUUGAUUGGUCCGCGCGCGGUCUGCAGGCUUUCUUCAAGAGGAAGGAACUAUCGGUAGAAAUAGAGUGCGCUGUUGUUGCACAGGGAUACUUGAGGAAUACUAGACUCCGUCUCUUCUUCAGUAGGCUAUACGAGAUGAAAGGGAUUUUAAAAUAUCUCGUUGGAAUCAUUCUGUUUGUGUACUCGAACAUCAAACUGACAUUAGGAGCAUCUGUUGUCUUGCAAUGCAAUGGGACGAGACAGAACGAUGGACAGUUCCUCUUUGUCAUUUUGUAUAACAUUAAAGAGUACUUCAGUGACUGCGAGAAACAAUGGCUUGUCAAUGGAACUCUGACAGGUCUUUUUGAGGAAGGAAAUCCAUCUUUCAUCUCUCCUAUUACAAACCUGACCGCAAGCACUGCCACUCUGCAGGCCUGUCCUGAAAAUCUUGAGUGUCUGCUCUCCUGCCCCACUGGCAAAAUCAAUGAAAAGCAACUGUGCUCUUGUGAUAUCAGCACUCCGACUUCACUUUCUGAAGUGGGUUAUCUUGACUGGAGCGUUGGUAUUUGGACUGGAGUGAGUGUGUCUGUGGUUCUGUUGGUGUCUGUGAUUAUCACCAUUGUACUUUAUAAGAUUAAACAAAGGUCAAGAUUUGGCCCUAGUGUUCCAGUUCCUGCUGAACAGAUUGUUUUAUUCUGAAGAUGUUCCAUCAUCACACCUGGACCUUUUAUCUUCAGUUAUUCAUUCUUUGUACUCCAGAAGUAAUCUUUUUAUAAUUUCCAUCAUUUAUGUAGCAUUAGCUCUAUUAUUCUGUGUGUGUUGGCUACAUUUAGCAUCUCAGUGCUUUAUAGCUUGUAGGAUUUUGUUCAUCUUUUAAAAUAAAUUAUGACACUAACCUAAAUGAAGUUACA